CCGGCUCGGGACAACGGCUUUCCUAGGCAUUUUGACCUUAAAACCGAGGGAUGGACAAGAGAAAUGGAAGAAAACUCGAGGGAGAGAAUCUAGAACGGGUUGGAGACGAGGUCGGAGAUGACUCUAUGGUUUUGGAACAGUGGCGGCCGAGAAUAGAAGUGAGGAAUAAACGUUUCGAUUAGGGUUAAAAAUCAGAUUCCCGACCUCG
rnacentral:lncRNA from 1 species